AAAGUCGUAACAAGGUUUCCGUAGGUGAACCUGCGGAAGGAUCAUUAGUGAUUGCCUUUAUAGGCUUAUAACUAUAUCCACUUACACCUGUGAACUGUUCUAUUACUUGACGCAAGUCGAGUAUUUUUACAAACAAUGUGUAAUGAACGUCGUUUUAUUAUAACAAAAUAAAACUUUCAACAACGGAUCUCUUGGCUCUC
rnacentral:misc_RNA from 1 species